CGUCUUCCUCAUCAUCUUCCUCGUCAUCAUCAUUUUCAAGUCCAUCCAUUUCCAGGUCCUCUAAAUCAUCAUCUUGAGCAGCCUCUCCAGUGAACCAUGAAACUGCAUGAGGGAUGAUCUUGUCUCGAAUAGUGGACCCUAUGUCAUAAUCUUGCUCCAUUUGAGUCUGUAGUUCUUCAGCAGUUUCUUCAUCAAUAUCAUCAUCAUCAUCAGGGACUUGUGGUGGGUUAAAGAAGUUGAAGAAGCUUUCACAUUUCUCUGUUUUUGUGAUGGGCUUUGUGUUCUUUGAUCCCUUUCUUGGCUUCUUUACCAAAACCUUCUGGGUCAGACACUUGCCCGGAUACCAAUCUAUUUCAGUCCCUAUUGCUUUCUCUAGAACGGGAUCGUCUUCAUCAAUCAUGUGGUACGUCUUUGUCAGAACAAGAUUCUUGAAAAAGGGAUUUGGAUCGAAAAAAAAUUCAAGCUUGAAACCCUUUGGUUCCUCAAUUUUACACCAUUUAAUGUCCUUCAGGAACUUUAAGGCUCCUUCGUCACGCUCUUGAAUCUCCUCAGCAAGCACCUCAUUGGUUUUCAUUGCAGUUAACCAAAAAUCUGGCACACCUUUUUCUUCGCUACUUUUAUCCUCAGCAGUUGCUUCAGUAGUUUCAGUUGUAACAUCUUCCACUUCGACCACACCAUUCACAAUUUCAUAGCGCUUGGUAUAUAGUGGUUCAUAUAGUUUCUGGUAUUUGGCUUCAAGUGCUGCUCUUUCCUCGAAGAAUUUUGCCUCGAACUCAUCAUGUUGGCUCUGGAUCUCCUUUAGGGCCUCUACACGCUUCCGCACCUUCUCCGACAAAUUCUCCAUCACAUCCGAGUGCUUCCCCGCCAAGCUCUGCAGCUUAUCCUUGAGGGCGUUGACGAGCCCCGCGCGGUCCUCCGCGCUGAGACCUGAGGCGGCGGCGGGGAGCGCCGCGCUGAGAUCGGAGAGGUUAAGGGCCUCCUGCUGCUUCUUGGCGCUCAUCGCUGCGCCGCCGCCGGUGACCGAAAAACCCUAGACUGGCGGGCGGCGGGAUUGAG
rnacentral:misc_RNA from 1 species